AGUGGCGAACGGGUGAGUAACAUAUCGGAACGUAUCCAAUAAUGGGGGAUAACUAAUCGAAAGGUUGGCUAAUACCGCAUACGCCCUACGGGGGAAAGCUAGGGACCUUCGGGCCUGGCGUUAAUGGAGCGGCCGAUAUCUGAUUAGCUAGUUGGUGGGGUAAAGGCCCACCAAGGCGACGAUCAGUAGCUGGUCUGAGAGGACGACCAGCCACACUGGAACUGAGACACGGUCCAGACUCCUACGGGAGGCAGCAGUGGGGAAUUUUGGACAAUGGGCGCAAGCCUGAUCCAGCCAUUCCGCGUGAGUGAAGAAGGCCUUCGGGUUGUAAAGCUCUUUCGCAAGGGAAGAAAACUUAGGCUCUAACAUAGCCUGAGGUUGACGGUACCUUGAUAAGAAGCACCGGCUAACUACGUGCCAGCAGCCGCGGUAAUACGUAGGGUGCGAGCGUUAAUCGGAAUUACUGGGCGUAAAGCGUGCGCAGGCGGUUUUGUAAGUCAGAUGUGAAAUCCCCGAGCUCAACUUGGGAACUGCGUUUGAAACUACAAGACUAGAAUAUGUCAGAGGGGGGUAGAAUUCCACGUGUAGCAGUGAAAUGCGUAGAGAU
rnacentral:rRNA from 1 species